ACUCCCUGUGAUGGCCCUGAAACUUCCAGAAUGUAGAGAUGCAGAGCUGUAGGCUGUUGUCAAAGCUGUGAAUUUCAGUUUCCCCAUCAUCCGAGGCUUUGAUGGGCUGAGGAACCGGAGCCUCACAUUUGACAAAGCGUUUUAAAGCACCAUUUAUAUAUUGCGCUCUCUGCCCUUGGGGAACCCUGGCUCUGGAAGUCAAGAAGAGAGAAUGUGGAGGCGAAUUGUACAAAACGUUUGAGAGGAAAGCCACCUUCAGGAAAGUCAUAGCAGCAAGAACAGGAAGCAACUGGUCAUAUUGUGUCCAGUCUGGAAGCAGAGAGAGGGUCGAGAUCCGGGGGACAGUCUUCAGCCACUGAGCAGAUGAAGCUGGCACCUCUCCAGAGCAUUGCCCGUGGUCUCUGCAGAUAUACUAUGCAGUGGGCAUCAUGGGCUUCUAGGGCUGCAUCUGGUAAUCUUGAGCAAGUAAUAUAACUGAGUGCUGGUUAUCUGGGGCAGCCUUGGGUGUGGUGGGGAUCCUGACUAAGCUAUUUUUACAUGUCUAAAAGGCUCAUUACCUGGCCCUCUAACCCUAGAGUCCCAGAGUAAAGUUUCAGCUUUACAAUUUGAGUGGGUGGUCUGAUCUCACUGGAACUCCAGAAACUGUUAGUUCUGCCAGGUGAGAACAAGACCACUACUGCAAUUUCUAAGCCAAAUCUGAAACAAGGCUUAUUAAAUAUCAGCCAGGACGAUGGCCACUGGUCAGGUCUAGACCGAGGAUACCCAGAGUAUGUCCUGAACUACUUUAGUCAUAGGCUAAAGGCAAAACAAGACUAUUGACUUCCUGUCUCUGUCCAAUCAGGGUCAGCCAUGCAUCCUAACAUACUUCCUGCCUAUGGGUAAUCAAACGCAUCACGGGCAGUUGGGGCAGGCGAGCUUGUUUGUACUAGUGAAACAUAUGGCUUCACACCAACAGUAACCCCCAGCAUUGCCACAGUUCUCUGUCCUUGGGCAAGUGGGGCUUUCAGGUUGGAGGCAUUUGUGUUUUAUUGAUCUCUUAAGUACAAUAAUUCAAACCUAGAAAUAACUUUAGCCACCACAGGUUAUCUUCUGUCUUCCCAUGGGGCAAGGUGUCAGUCCCAUGCUUGCCUCAUCUUGGAUUUUUCCCUUUAAUUCCACUUGCAGCACCUGUAGCAAAGUAUGUUCUGCUUUGUUUUCAAAUUCCUUGUUAAUAUAAACAUUUGUUUAAAUAGCCCUGUCUCUUGGGUGGAUGGAUUCUCUAGGGUAGGAGAUCUCUAAAGCCCUUGCCCAGAGCCCACAUUCAAGGAUCCUUUGUUAGGAUUCUAGGACAACUCUGAAGAUACCUCAGAGUAAACAGGGAGAUUACCCAGUACAGAGAAGGUGGGAAGGUGUUCAUCUUUUAUCUUGCAAGUGAAGACAGAAGUAACUCCCAGGAUGAAUAGGUAAGAGACUUCCCAUAAAGUUACUUUUUUUUUUUUCCAAACUAAGGACAUAACCAUGACUUCACUGCUGAAUUGCCACCGUUGUAGACAGGUGGACCAGUUUGGAGCAUAAGGAAGAAAUGUUGGAGAAAGUGAACUUCAGUAAAAGAAGCUAGAGUCAGUCACCUCAGUCAGUGGCAGACCGACAAAGAAGAAGAGAGCUGAUUGGCCCACAGCUGUGGUAAAUGUAGCCAGAAUGGAUUUUGAACAUAUCUGAACAGCAGGGACCAGUCAGCCAGAAGAGGAUCCCUUCUGGUGGGUGUCAAAACCCACAAGACCUUUGUCUUUCAGGAAGGUGAGGAAGAAGCCAGAGGUUUGUCUCCUUUGUUAUCUGUGGUUCUUUUUCCUGUCAUCUGCUGGCCAGGGGUCUCCUCAGUAGUUAGUGUCUAAGGACUUCUGAAAUCCAAAUGACAGAGAAGCAGGCAGAAGUUGUAAGCCAGAGCUCUGCUCAGCAGAUGUAGCAUGACAUCUCUAGGUCAGGUUGGAGAGGAGAUCCUCAGCCUGACUAGCACAAGAAGAAAAGAUUUCACACUGACUGAGCCUCUUUCUUUUUUAAUAUUUAGAAACAAAAUGAUCACCUUUGCUGCCAGGCAGUGCAAAGACUAGUCCAGCCCACCUUUCUUGAAAACCCAUGAUCUGCUUUUCAGGGGGAGAUGAAAGUGCAGGCAUAGACAAUGGAUCUGAAAGCUGCUGGCUUUUGAAUAUUCAUGACUAUUCUAAUGCAAAUGAAUGUUUCCAAUUGAGCUGAGUUUGGCCAGGUGCUGUUGGAAGUGCUUUAAGUUUAUAAUGUUGCUUCUCUGUUCUUUAGAUCUCCUAGAACAACUUCUCUGAGAAGGUUUCCCAGGUGUCCCACCUUGGACUGUAGUUCCUGCCCCUAAAGUUCAAGGGCUCUGGAUCCCCCCAAUCCACAGGACAGCCUGCCCUUGUUUAAUUGGGGCCCAGGUCUGAGAGGCCCUCCUUUGGCCCAGAGCCAGAGAGCCUUAUCACUCACCAGAUUGUGCUUCAACCAAAGCUCACUGCUCCCAGAAUAACAGAGGGGAUGGUGGGGGGUCUGCCAAGGUUAGGAGCACUUGUUUCAGCCCUCUUUGACUCUUGCAACUGUAAAUGGCCUUGGCCUGUAGCCUGAUGCUUUGCUAGGUCCACAGACUAUGCAAGACACACAACCCUGUGAGCUGAUGGUGGUUGCCUUUGGAGGAACACAGUGAGUCUUCAGUCUCUGUGGGUGCUAAGGGAGGAUUUCCCUGUUCAACAGGAUUUGUUGUGAGGGUUUCUGAUCAAAUUCUAGGAGGGGGGAGGGGGAAGGGAAGGGAGACAAGGAAAGUCACUGUUCAGCCAAGGACCUGUUUGGAGGAGUACAGACGCUGGUCCUGACCCAGGUCAGUGAAGGAAGUUUCCACAACUUCCACCAUCUCCCAGGAGCUGGGUGGUCCUCAGGAUCCAUUGGAGUGAAAGAUGCCACUUCUAGGUUUAAAUUGGUCCAGGAUCCUUAUACCACCUAAGGACUCUUGCUGAAGUAUCUCAGGCAUGGCCUAUGAUUCCAUUCCUUGAUUAGUUCUUGAAAUCUAUUCUUACCUCCUAGGCUUUCCAGCAGAACUUUUCACCCUCAAAUACUCUAUGGAAAAGACACUCCUCUCUAUGCCCGAUACAUACUUAUUCAAUGAGAAUCUACCUAUGUUUUAAACAGGUGACUCUAAGAGGUACAGUAGUCUCUGGUCAAUGCGUCUUGGUCUGUCUAUUCAGACUACCCUCCACCCAUAGUCCCCCUCUGCACCGUCAUCACUAGGGCUGCCAUAGCCUUCUCUGGGGUAACCUCACCUCCAAUGCCCUCUCCUCUGGGUUCCAAAGCUGCCAAAGCUAUGUUCACCUGAAUUCAGCCUCCCCAGUUUUCUUCCACGACUACCUGCUGUUUAAUUUAUCCUGGCAUUGUUAACACCUGACUUUCCCUGUGAUGAGUUUUUAGCUGUGGACUAGUUUAUUCUUAAGAAACACAUUGAUUUUCGAGGGCUGGAGCUUCAUUGCAGUUACUUAAGUCCUUCUUCCAUGUUUCCUUUCCAGGACUUCAUAGUUGUGGCCGAGGCCUGAUGUCAGUCAGACAGGCUUUGAUGAGGAUGGUACCCUGGUUCUGGCAGCUACUCAAGGACUUGGGAGAAACCUGUUUGUACCCCAAGCUUCUGGUCAAAUUGAGUGGCCCUCACCUUGAAAUAGACCCUGAAUAUGGCAUAGAUGCCAGGAACCCAGCUCUGUAAACGUUUAUAUGCAGACAAAGUCUCUCCAUGUGCUUUUAAACCAAGGAAGUUUCUACUCAGAAACUUAGAAGGCUGUCAUGAGAGAUUGCCAAGCAAGGACAAUACACAAAGGGAAGCAAGCAGAUUUUACUGAGAAGAAACAUCUCCCUGUAGCCAGAGGGGAGACGUGAAGGUGAGUUACCUAUUCAAGUUACCUAUUUAGCACGCUGAAACGGUUUUUACAUCUUGGGAAUGUGCCAUUGUGGUCCCAUAUGUAAAUUAGGCAUCAAACUCAGAUGAGUCUGAUUGGCUUAUUUGAAUGCACGUGGCAAAGUCUGCUUUGCUGACAAGUCCUGUGAAAGUACAGAGCCUUGGAAAUCGAAAGCUGGAGGUCAGCUGACAUCUUGGAGGGUCAGGGUGUUUGGAUUUUAAUUCUUUGGCUCACCAACUGUGCUGGACAUUUUUAUGUCAACAGCAUAAGUUCCAGCGUUUUUAGAAGAAGAAACCUCAAUUGAGAAAAUGCCCCCAUCAUAUAUGUAGUCAAGCUUAUGCUACAUUUUCUUGAUUGAUGAUUGAUGUGGGAGGGUCCAAUUCUCCUGUUCAGUAUCACCCCUGGGCUGGUAGUCCUGGGUGCUAUAAGAAAGCAGGAAGAGUAACCCAUAAAGAACAGCUGGUAAGGAGCGCUCCUCCAUGGCGUCCGCUUCAGUUCCUGCCUGAGUUCCUGCCCUGACUCUCUGGAUGAUGGACUACAAGCUGUAGCUGAAAUAAAAC
rnacentral:sRNA from 1 species